rnacentral:rRNA from 1 species
GAUGAACGCUGGCGGCGUGCCUAAUACAUGCAAGUCGAGCGAACAGACUAGGAGCUUGCUCCUCUGACGUUAGCGGCGGACGGGUGAGUAACACGUUGAUAACCUACCUAUAAGACUGGUAUAACUUCUGUAAACCGGAGCUAAUACCGGAUAAUAUAUUAAACCGCAUGGUUCAAUAGUGAAAGACGGUUUUGCUGUCACUUAUUGAUGGAUCCGAGCCGCAUUAGCUAGUUGGUAAGGUAACGGCUUAACAAGGCAACGAUGCGUAGCCUACCUGAGAGGGUAUUAGAACACACAGGAGGGAAGAUGUGAACCAGGCCCCUAAGGGAGGCGACAGAAGAGAAUCUACCGCAAUGGGCGAAAGGAUGACGGAGAAACGGCGCGAAGGAGAUGAAGCACUUCUGAUAGUAAAACUCAGUUAAUAGGGAAGAACAAAUGUAUAAGUAGCUAUGCAAGUAGUAACGGUACCUGAAGAAGAAGCAACGGCUAAAGACGUG